CAGUCGCCGCGGUAAUACAGAGGAUGCAAGCGUUAUCCGGAAUGAUUGGGCGUAAAGCGUCUGUAGGUGGCUUUUCAAGUCCGCCGUCAAAUCCCAGGGCUCAACCCUGGACAGGCGGUGGAAACUACCAAGCUGGAGUACGGUAGGGGCAGAGGGAAUUUCCGGUGUAGCGGUGAAAUGCGUAGAGAUGUGGAGGAACACCAGUGGCGAAGGCGACUCUCUGGUCUGUAACUGACGCUGAGGAGCGAAAGCGUGGGGAGCGAACGGGAUUAGAUACCCCAGUAGUCCCUGUCUCUUAUAC
rnacentral:rRNA from 1 species